GACGAGCGCUGGCGGCGUGCCCAAUACAUGCAAGUUGAGCGCUGAAGGUUGGUACUUGUCCCGACUGGAUGAGCAGCGAACGGGUGAGUAACGCGUGGGGAAUCUGCCUUUGAGCGGGGGACAACAUUUGGAAACGAAUGCUAAUACCGCAUAAAAACUUUAAACACAAGUUUUAAGUUUGAAAGAUGCAAUUGCAUCACUCAAAGAUGAUCCCGCGUUGUAUUAGCUAGUUGGUGAGGUAAAGGCUCACCAAGGCGAUGAUACAUAGCCGACCUGAGAGGGGGAUCGGCCACAUUGGGACUGAGACACGGCCCAAACGCCUACGGGAGGCAGCAGGAGGGGAUCUUCGGCAAUGGACGAAAGUCUGACCGAGCAACGCCGCGUGAGUGAAGAAGGGUGUCGGAUCGUAAAACUCGGUUGGUAGAGAAGAACGUUGGUGAGAGUGGAAAGCUCAUCAAGUGACGGUAACUACACAGAAAGGGACGGCUAACUACGUG
rnacentral:rRNA from 1 species